GAGAGAAAGUUGAGUGAAAAAAGAGUGAUUCGACACGACGCAAUGGCGGUGCGAAAAAUAGAGGAAGAACCUCUCAACCGACGGCGGCUCACCACCCAAGGUAGCGACGGCACACCGUCAAAGGCGGUACACAACACCCAAGGGACGAUGACGCACUGCCCGAGGCAGCAACACACCUCCCUAAGUCGGUCGCUAGCUGCAAGCCUAGCCUGUAGGCACGCCAACCUAUCCUACCAUGCACAGGGCCUACAGUGCGCAGGGAGUUGCGUGUAGGCCUAUUGCAUGCAAGCCCAUGUGCGCAGGCCUACCACGUAGGCUUAUUGCGCGUAGACCCAUGCGCGCAAGCCUACCGCGUAGGCCUAUUAUGCAUAAUAGGCCCAUGCACGCAGGCCCAUGCGCG
rnacentral:lncRNA from 1 species